UUUCCGUAGGUGAACCUGCGGAAGGACCAUUCAUAAUAAAGAGUAUUAUGGCACUUUUUAAAAAUCCAUAUCCACCUUGUGUGCACUGUUAGAUCUCGUCAAUCUUGGCGAGAUUUUGAUACAUAAACUCAUUAUAUAACUAAUUUGUCUGAAAAAUAUUAUGAAUACUUAAUUUAAAAUACAACUUUCAACAACGGAUCUCUUGGCUCUC
rnacentral:misc_RNA from 1 species